GAGAUUGGGGCCUCGGGUAUGAAAUGGACCCAGCUCAGGUCCAGGACCUCGAAGUCUCCUCCAGGUAAAUGGCCUGCAUUCUCCAGGCGUCGGCAUUCUCCACCUGCGCCCCCGGGGCUUGCACUCUGAGCCACUGUCCUGUUUUGGAAAAGAGAGAACUGGACAUUGAAGGUAUUCUCAGGGUGCUUGGAUCCCAGGCCAGGGUCAAGGGGAUGAAACAAGAGCUGGAGAGAGAUUUCUCCACUGGCCUUUCUGGCUGGGACAAGGUUCACCAUAGUGACACGUCCCAUUUGCUCAAGAGGUUCAUCCGGGAGUGCCGAGAGCCUCCCGACAUUCACCGCGCUGCCCAGUGAGGAUGUCCCAGCCCUUUGCAUUUGCAGAGAAGAGUAUUUGAUGCCACUGACCUUGGUUGGAGAGGCGACAUGGUGGGAAGACAGGACUACCUCCUCCCUGUGACCUUGAGCUGAUGGGGAAGGAUGUAUGUGCCUGUACAUGUGUGUGCCUGUGUAUGGUGUGUACCGUAUGUGUGUGCAUGUAGUGUUUGCAUGUACGCGUGUCACGUGCACACGCGCAGGUGUGUGUGGUUUGUAUCGGGUAUGUGUGUGUGUGCAUGGGUAUAUAGUGUAUGCCUAUAUGUGUAUGUCAAGGGCAUGCGUGUGUGUGGUGUGUAAGGGGGGAGAAGAGGAGGUGCGGCUUGCUCACCGCAGUCCUCAUUCAUCCUCCUACAGACCAGCUUUCCUCCCUUCACGAUGGCAGUGGGGCCGAGCUUAUCAGAUUCAGCUCAUUGUAUAUCAGCAGGCGCACACAUGUGUGCACAUCCAUCUGUCCGUGGGCAUGUAGGUCUGCCCGUGGGCACAUAUUGCACAGAUCCCCACUUACCUUCUGCCUGGACUUCUCAUAACCCACAGAGUGCAAACACUCCUAGUUUGCUGAAAAGAAUAAAGCAACCCGCCCAGGGUCCACCUGUGACCUAGCGGGGAAACCCGCUCGCCCUGUCACUCUCUCCGACUCUCCGAUAAGCUUCAGGGUGCGGGCUGUCUGAUGUCCAUCCCCAGCCAAGGUCAGGGACCCCGAGAAAUCUUCUCCAGCCUUUGCUUCCCACAGCCUUGCUUUAUUUUUUUCCCUUCUUUUUUUUUUCUAUUUUAUCAUUUUUUUAAUAUGUUAGUCGCCAUCCAGGACAUCAUUAGUGUUGAUGCAGCGUUCCCUGAUUCAUUGCUGGCCUAUAACACCCAGUGCUCCGUGCAGUCCGUGCCCUCCUUCGUACCCAUCCCCGGGCUCCUCAGCCUCGUUUUAAAACAGAAACCUUGUGGCUGCAGAGCUCCUCCUGCUCCACGCCCCACCACCCGCUAUCAAUCCUCAGUCCCUCCCCUCAUCUGCCCCCAGGGCCCUCCAGUCUCCCUCUGGGCCCCUCCCAGUAGGGGGCUUCCCCCGUCCUCCCCGCCUUCGGGCCCUGGCUCCCUCCCUCUGGCCGGUGCGCUCACCGCCCUCCCCCUCUAGAAACCUGCCCACCCCCCUGGAGGGCUGCCGCUGGGCACUGGGAUGGCCGCUGGCUGUCAGCGCCUCCCAGAGGCCCGCCCAGGCGCUGCGUAUCCCAGACGCUCCGCUCUGCUGCGUAGUUGUGUGUGUGAAUCAUUGUCUGAAGAUAGUCAUUUCUCGAAUCACUUAUUGUCUGCCUUCUCCCCUGAAACCGAAGCUUUGCAGAUCUGCGGCCUGUUUGUCUUCUUCUUCGGUCCUGCGUCCCGGCACCUGGACUGGAGAGCCCACCGGAUAGGCACUGAGCAUACUUGUUGCGGGAGGGAGCGGAUGAGUGAAUGAAUAGAUGAGCCAGCGCCGAACGAAGGAACGCGAGCCCCGCGGGAUCUGAGGGAGGAGGCCCAGCGCUCAGCCUCUGUGCCCCCACGCAGGCUCUGCCAGCUCUCAGCCCAGGGGUCUGGUCUGGCUUGGGGAACUCCUCCUCUGAACUCUGUAACUCCCACCUCCUCUGCUCCCUGGAGAUCCUGACCCCAGGUAGGGGAUGACUGCUUCUUUGUGGCUCUCACAGUGCUAAGGGUCCCAUGAAACCUCUCCAGGGCACUUGACGAUCUCCCCUCUAAGGGUGAUUGUGGGCUCAGCGCAUUUCUGCCCCUGGACUGGAGCUCUCGGGCCACACAUCUUGGCAUACGUGUGUGUGUGUGUGUGCGCGCACACAUGUGCACAUGUAUGUGUCUGUGUUUGCACCCACGGGAUACUUUUUAUUCUCACAGCAUAGAGAGUGAGCCUCGUGACCGGCACUGGUCAGAGCUCUCUGAGCUGCCACAAGCCCAGGAAACAGUUCCUGGUCUUGUGACGAAGGGUUUCCUGGCUGUCCCUGGACUCUGCGAUCUCCCCCCAAGAAGGGGCCUCCAGACUGAGAGAGGGAGAGUCCCUGAGACUCUCAAGGACUGGAGACUAGAGGCUGAAGCCUCCCUCCUCCCUCAGGCAGGCAACCCCUGCCGGCCCUCCACCUGCCCAUCCUGAUCCUCCCGGAACCCAGCAGAAAGGCCCCGAAUGGCACCUGGCUGGCUCAGUCAGUAAAGCAAGCAUGCGAUUCUUGAUCUCAGGGUCAUGAGUUCGAGCCCCACGUUGGGUGGAGAGCUUACUUAAAAAAGAAAUAAAAAAAAGAAAAGGAGAAGCCGUAACUGGAGCUGCCUCCAUUCCACGAUCUCAGCCCACGGCCGCCAUCAUGGCUCCUCAUUCAUCGACUUAGCCAUCCCUUCCAUGACGAUGCCACAUGCUGCCUGCUGUGACGACGACAGUGAUGACCGAGGCUUUCCUGGACUUCUUCCCUAGAGAAAGCAGAUGAGCCCUGAAGGAAAUCAGGGCUCACUGGAGUGGGGACUGCCGGCCGUCAGUCCUGUGUGGCGCUCACAGGUGGCACAGAGGAAAAGGGCUCCGUGUUCAAAUAACAUGGGUGAACACUGACUCCCCGAAACAAGGCUGAGGCUCAUUCUUCCCUACAGACUUCUCAGAGCCUGUGAUAUGGUCUCCAAGUGGGACUAGAGUAUGUAGUACUUUGCCAACCCAGCUGAUCACGGACCUCUUUAGUUGCGGAAAGCAUUACAGGGCGCUGGCAUUCAGGGGCGGGCUGCGGGGGGGCACCAGUCUGGGAAACACUCUUUUAGGAAACUCCCACUGUGUGUUGCGGGAGUUGGUGCUCAGGACCUAGGCUAGAGUGGGGCUCAGGUGCAGCCUUACCUUAACUCCAGCCCCUCCUGGCUGUCUUUGGGUCAGAUGCUAGGGUGAGGCUGUGAGGAGGUCCGGGCCUCCUGGAGUCCUCGUCUGCUGUGGGCACGGGAGGCCCUGAGGAAGUCUGUGAAACCAGAUAGCCGGGCUCGAGGGACCUCUACGCCUCGUGCCUCAGCUUUGGUGGAAGAGACGGCCUCUUUGAAUUUCUGCUUCCUUUUCAGUAAAAGGAGGAUGAUAAUAGCAUGGUGUGUGAUUGUUUUGGCAAUUAAAAGAGCUAACGCAUGAGAACUCAUAGAGCAGAAGGUGUGGUGCUUUGCGGGGCCUCGGUACGCGCUCUUCUCUCCUCCCCACCAUCCUUCCAUCCAUCCAUCUGUCCAUCUCUCCAGCUUUCCAUCCUCUUUUCCUUCACCCUUAUGGUUAUGUGGCCUUGUUGCACAUUCUCCUUCUCUGUAAAAUGGGUACAAUGAUAGAACCCACUUUGCUGAGUGGUUGUGAGGACUGAACAGGAUGAUAAAUGCAAGUACGUUGC